UUCCUACGGGAGGCAGCAGUGGGGAAUAUUGGACAAUGGGCGCAAGCCUGAUGCAGCCAUGCCGCGUGUGUGAAGAAGGCCUUCGGGUUGUAAAGCACUUUCAGUCAGGAGGAAAGGUUAGUAGUUAAUACCUGCUAGCUGUGACGUUACUGACAGAAGAAGCACCGGCUAACUCCGUGCCAGCAGCCGCGG
rnacentral:rRNA from 1 species